rnacentral:lncRNA from 1 species
AGAAGCUUACGAUUGUUGUUUCCUCUGAAGCUUUCAAUCUCCAAUCUUCAAUUCCGGUAAAGCUUCCAAUCUCCAAUCUUCAAUUCCGUUGAAGCUUCCGAUCUUAGAGCUUCAAUCAGAGAGUUAAUUUCUUGGAUUCACGGCGAAAUCAUGGGUAUGUGAUUGUAGCUCUGGAUUUGUAACUCCUCCAUUGCAUUUAAUUAGACGUUUAUGAUUGUAGCUCUGGAUAUGGUUUGAUGUCGAUUUGUAACUCCUGCAUUUGAUUAGAGGUUUGUGAUUGUAGAUCUGGAUUUGGUUCGAUGUGGAUGUAUUUCUGGGUUUGUAGCUCCUAAAAUUGAUCAACGUUGUGAUUUUGCUCUAGAUUUGAUUAGCUUGUGAGUGUAGCUCUCGCUUUGAUUGGAUGUGGAUAUAGUUCUGGAUUUGAUUAGCUCCUCCAUUUGAUUAGCUCUCGAUUUGAACUCUUUUAGUGAUUAGUUCUUGAUUAAUAGCUCUUGGAUUUGAUUGUUGCUCUCGAGUUUCUAGUUUACUAUGAGUGUUAUUUAAUUUGUUCCUCAAUCACAGCUAACAAUACAAUCCAUGAUUUCUUUUGUCUAAUAACAGGCUACAACUAUUUUAUUUUACAGAGCUUAUUAGAAGCACCAAGUUUUGCCCAAUUGGGAUAUUAUAAUCAUUUGUAUUCCACCCAUGGAUUGUUCAGACAUUACAGGAAUGUUGUUGUCUUUUGCAGCUAAUCUUGUUGUCUCUUUGGAUUUUUUUUAGUUUGAUUUUGCAUUAGAAAUCUUGUUGGCUGCACAUGCAAAGUAGAAGGUAAAAACUCAUUUUCAUAGGUUUUAGGAAGGAUACGUGUAUUUUAGGAUGACCUCCCUAAAUAAUGCAAUAUACAGAUAUGAUGCUUUCUAGUCAUGUGUUUUCAAUUUUAACUCUCUGUCUAUUUUCAUGUCUAUGUUUUUUGCUUGUAGGUACUUCAUCCAUCAGUCGGAACUUCUUCUAUCAGUGUUGUACAUGGAAUAGAGCAGGAUGCUCAUUUGUAUAUGUUUUAAGAAGGGCACAUACAUAUUUAGGAUGACUUUCCUAAAACAUAUUCAGGAUGCUCAUUUGUAAGAUAUUCACGAAUGAGAAGCUUUGUUUACUGGUUAUAGUUUUGUUACAAUAACAAUAGGUCUUGGGUUCAAGUAGUGGUUGAACAUUUUGUCCAAUCUUCAGAUUUCAUUUUGUAACCUUUACCUAGAAGCUCGACCAGCAGACUUAAUUCUGGAUCAUCUUCGUCUUCCAAUGAAACUAUAUCUUCAGGAUCAUCAGGUUUUGAAGGUGAGAUGCAAAAUACAUUCAGCUGCACAAAAACAAACACAUUCAGCAGACUUAAUACAUUCAAUUACAUAUUUUAGGAAGGUCAUCCCGAAUUACUAUAAAUCCUUCCCAAAUUAGGAAGGUCAUCCCGAAUUACUAUAAAUCCUUCCAAAAUCAGGAAGGCCAUCCCGAAUUACUAUAAAUCUUUCCCAAAACUAGUUUAAACCAUAAAAAGAAGAGACUGAAUUUACAUGAUUAGAUGCUUCAAUAUUCAGUAUUUGAGAAAGUUGCGGUGAUGGUAAGCUCGUGUAUUUCUCACACAAGAAUGCAGUCGGCUUCUCUAUUAAACUGAUUCGGCUGUAGGCUGUUUGUAGCAGCAAAAAAAAACUAAAUCUAGUAGAUAAGUUCCACAGGUUCAUAAGAACAUCCGCCAUUUGAAACAUCAACCCCAAAUUCAGAUAUACAUAAAGAUUAUAAAACUGCAACAUGAAUGUAUUGUAAAACGUUUUUGCUCCAAAAUACUACAAUUACCAUAUGAUAGUAAUAAUAAAUAUCUUAAAAGCAACACAGAAUCACAGAAGAUUUUCGGGAAGGCUAUCCUGAAUACUUAGCAACACAAAAUCACAGAUUUCUGUACCUUCAAACUUUCAAUGACAAUGGAAGCUAACAUAGCAAGCUUAUGAAUUCAUAUAAUAGUGUCUAUAUAUCACAGAAUGACGGUAGCUUUUGUAUUCAUACAUCUAUAGAUUCAUUAAGUGCAAGGAGCUUAAGAACACUUUGUUUGGUUAUAAAUAGAGCAGAGAAACAACACAAACCAUACCAACGAUUAGAAAAUCUUCCAAUGGAAUCAAAAAUCACAAAUAUUAUAGAGAAUCAUUUCUUAAUUUCAGCCAAAGAGAGAACAAUAAAGCCUCAAAUUCAUUUCUAGUACUCAAUCAUUUCUUAAUUUCAGCAAUCUAGAGAACAAAAGAAUGUACUAUGAAUUAAACAUAUCGAUCAAGUACACCAUUUUCAUCAACAAUGUUUGAAAUACAAGUAUCCUAAAAUUGAUUCACUUAUAGCAAAGCCCUAUGUCACAAAUCGCAGUGAUCUAAUCAUUGUCCCCAAUGACAAAAAACUUCACCCUAAAUCGGAAUCGAAUUUCACCGAUUAUCUUUCAGCAUUUGUUGAAUCGAAACAAGUGAAUGAAAGGACUACAGAAACUCGCCGGAGAAGAAUUGGAGAGUGAGGGAAAUUACACAAACUCACCGGAGAAGAAUGAAUCCGACAAAGUCUUCGAAUCUCCGGUGAAGAAAUCAGAUCCGGUGACCGACGGAGUCGUCGGGGGCGACGGCGUCGUCGAGGGCGAUGACAAAGGUCGAGGUCGACGGCGAAAGUCGAGGUCGACGGCGAAGGUGGAGGUCGACGGAGUCGUCAAGUUUUUCGAAGGUGAAGUUUGUUGGAAGCGAAACCGUCGGGUUUGGAAGAAAUGAAAUUAGGUUUUGUGUAUUUUCUGUUUUAAUUAAUUAGAGGAUUAAAAACUUUGUGUGCUAUUUUUGGAAGUUU